GGGCGCAGCCUGAUCCAGCAAUGCCGCGUGUGUGAAGAAGGCCUUCGGGUUGUAAAGCACUUUUGUCCGGAAAGAAAACUUCAGCCCUAAUACGGCAGGAGGAUGACGGUACCGGAAGAAUAAGCACCGGCUAACUACGUGCCAGCAGCCGCGGUAAUACGUAGGGUGCAAGCGUUAAUCGGAAUUACUGGGCGUAAAGCGUGCGCAGGCGGUUCGCUAAGACAGAUGUGAAAUCCCCGGGCUUAACCUGGGAACUGCAUUUGUGACUGGCGGGCUAGAGUAUGGCAGAGGGGGGUAGAAUUCCACGUGUAGCAGUGAAAUGCGUAGAGAUGUGGAGGAAUACCGAUGGCGAAGGCAGCCCCCUGGGCCAAUACUGACGCUCAUGCACGAAAGCGUGGGGAGCAAACAGGAUUAGAUACCCUGGNNNUCCACGCA
rnacentral:rRNA from 2 species